GACGAACGCUAGCGGCGUGCUUAACACAUGCAAGUCGAACGGAAAGGCCCUGCUUUUGUGGGGUGCUCGAGUGGCGAACGGGUGAGUAACACGUGAGUAACCUGCCCUUGACUUUGGGAUAACUUCAGGAAACUGGGGCUAAUACCGGAUAGGAGCUCCUGCUGCAUGGUGGGGGUUGGAAAGUUUCGGCGGUUGGGGAUGGACUCGCGGCUUAUCAGCUUGUUGGUGGGGUAGUGGCUUACCAAGGCUUUGACGGGUAGCCGGCCUGAGAGGGUGACCGGCCACAUUGGGACUGAGAUACGGCCCAGACUCCUACGGGAGGCAGCAGUGGGGAAUAUUGCACAAUGGGCGGAAGCCUGAUGCAGCAACGCCGCGUGCGGGAUGACGGCCUUCGGGUUGUAAACCGCUUUCGCCUGUGACGAAGCGUGAGUGGCGGUAAUGGGUAAAGAAGCACCGGCUAACUACGUG
rnacentral:rRNA from 1 species